rnacentral:rRNA from 1 species
GUCCACCAAACUAACUCAGAAAGACAAACUAUGCCCAAUCACUUCUGAUCUCAGAAGCUAAGCAGAGUCAGGCCUGGUUAGUACUUGAUGGGAGAACACUUAGGAAGGCCAGGUGCUAUAGGCA